ensembl:lncRNA
AGGAUUAUCCUACAAGAUGCAAACCAGUGACCUCAUUUGGCAUUCAGCAGAAUAAACAUAUACUGGUUUGGCCAGCAAGUUUGUACAAACUUUUUGGCCAACCCAUUACAUAUCUCUUGCAACACUGAAGGGAACACUGGAUUUUCUAGAGUUACAGAAGGAUAACAUGAAGGACUUCAAUCAUGUGACAAUGGAAGAGAUUUUUAAAGUCACAUAUGACUACAUAUAAUUUUUUCCAUCAUAACUAAAAGACCAGGGCAUCUUCCCAACCCAGAGGUCAACCUGCAUCUCUUGCAUCUCCUGUAUCAGCAUUGGCAAACAGGUUCCUUACCACUAUCACCACCUGGGAAGCCCAGGAAAGCCAGGGAGAGAUCUACAUUGGUGCAGCCAGGAGCUAAUUCUAAGGUGCCAGUGGCAUUUGGAGAUGCAGAGUUUUCAACCUUCAAAGCUACUGAGGUUCUUGAGUAUCUGACUGAACUGUCGGAUACCACAGAGAGACUGCAAGACUGAAAAGUAGCAAUGGCUUUGAUCAUUUGCUGAGAAUUUUAAAUGAACUUGUUAUCAUGCUCAUUUAGACGCUUUGGAAAAUGUAUUAUCGUUUAACCAGUUGAUUUAGGGAGCACUGGUGGCCCCGCUGUGCAGAGCAGUAGAAAGCGAUGACAGAGCUGGAUCAUGUUCAUGCAGCCUUUCAACCAGUGUUUAUCAAUCGCCUACUAUGUGCCAGGCAAUGUACCAGGAGCUAAAGAUGUAAAUAAGACAAAGUCCCCGCCCUCACAGAGAUUUCCA